rnacentral:rRNA from 1 species
GAUGAACGCUGGCGGCGUGCCUAAUACAUGCAAGUCGAGCGAACGGACGAGAGGCUUGCUUCUCUGAUGUUAGCGGCGGACGGGUGAGUAACACGUGGAUAACCUACCUAUAAGACUGGGAUAACUUCGGGAAACCGUAGCUAAUACCGGAUAAUAUUUUGAACCGCAUGGUUCAAAAGUGAAAGACGGCCUUGCUGUCACUUAUAGAUGGAUCCGCGCUGCAUUAGCUAGUUGGUAAGGUAACGGCUUACCAAGGCAACGAUGCAUAGCCGACCUGAGAGGGUGAUCGGCCACACUGGAACUGAGACACGGUCCAGACUCCUACGGGAGGCAGCAGUAGGGAAUCUUCCGCAAUGGGCGAAAGCCUGACGGAGCAACGCCGCGUGAGUGAUGAAGGUCUUCGGAUCGUAAAACUCUGUUAUUAGGGAAGAACAUAUGUGUAAGUAACUGUGCACAUCUUGACGGUACCUAAUCAGAAAGCCACGGCUAACUACGUG